rnacentral:rRNA from 1 species
AGUCGAACGGAAAGGCCCCUUCGGGGGUACUCGAGUGGCGAACGGGUGAGUAACACGUGGGUGAUCUGCCCUGCACUUUGGGAUAAGCCUGGGAAACUGGGUCUAAUACCGAAUAGGACCGCAUGCUUCAUGGUGUGUGGUGGAAAGCUUUUGCGGUGUGGGAUGGGCCCGCGGCCUAUCAGCUUGUUGGUGGGGUAAUGGCCUACCAAGGCGACGACGGGUAGCCGGCCUGAGAGGGUGUCCGGCCACACUGGGACUGAGAUACGGCCCAGACUCCUACGGGAGGCAGCAGUGGGGAAUAUUGCACAAUGGGCGCAAGCCUGAUGCAGCGACGCCGCGUGGGGGAUGACGGCCUUCGGGUUGUAAACCUCUUUCAGUAUCGGCGAAGCUCCAGGAUUUUUCUUGGGGUGACGGUAGGUACAGAAGAAGCACCGGCCAACUACGUGCCAGCAGCCGCGGUAAUACGUAGGGUGCGAGCGUUGUCCGGAAUUACUGGGCGUAAAGAGCUCGUAGGUGGUUUGUCACGUUGUCCGUGAAAACUCACAGCUUAACUGUGGGCGUGCGGGCGAUACGGGCAGACUAGAGUACUGUAGGGGAGACUGGAAUUCCUGGUGUAGCGGUGGAAUGCGCAGAUAUCAGGAGGAACACCGGUGGCGAAGGCGGGUCUCUGGGCAGUAACUGACGCUGAGGAGCGAAAGCGUGGGGAGCGAACAGGAUUAGAUACCCUGGUAGUCCACGCCGUAAACGGUGGGUACUAGGUGUGGGUUUCCUUCCUUUAGGGAUCCGUGCCGUAGCUAACGCAUUAAGUACCCCGCCUGGGGAGUACGGCCGCAAGGCUAAAACUCAAAUGGAAUUGAC